rnacentral:rRNA from 1 species
UCCUACGGGGGGCAGCAGUGAGGAAUCUUCCACAAUGGGCGAAAGCCUGAUGGAGCAACGCCGCGUGCAGGAUGAAGGCCUUCGGGUCGUAAACUGCUUUUAUAAGUGAAGAAUAUGACGGUAACUUAUGAAUAAGCACCGGCUAACUACGUGCCAGCAGCCGCGGUCAUACGUAGGGUGCAAGCAUUAUCCGGAGUGACUGGGCGUAAAGAGUUGCGUAGGUGGUUUGUUAAGCGAAUAGUGAAAUCUGGGGGCUCAACCGUACAGGCUAUUAUUCGAACUGGCAAACUCGAGAAUGGUAGAGGUAACUGGAAUUUCUUGUGUAGGAGUGAAAUCCGUAGAUAUAAGAAGGAACACCAAUGGCGUAGGCAGGUUACUGGACCAUUUCUGACACUGAGGCACGAAAGCGUGGGGAGCGAACCGGAUUAGAUACCCGAGUAGUC